GACGAACGCUGGCGGCGUGCUUAACACAUGCAAGUCGAACGGUGAAGCGCCUUCCUUUUUGGUGGGUGUGGAUGAGUGGCGAACGGGUGAGUAACACGUGAGUAACCUGCCCCCUUCUUCUGGAUAACCGCAUGAAAGUGUGGCUAAUACGGGAUAUUCUGGGUCUGUCGCAUGAUGGGUCUGGGAAAGAUAUUGUUUCGGUGGGGGAUGGGCUCGCGGCCUAUCAGCUUGUUGGUUGGGUGAUGGCCUACCAAGGCGGUGACGGGUAGCCGGCCUGAGAGGGUGGGCGGUCCCACUGGGACGGAGACACGGACCAGACUCGUACGGGAGGCAGCAGGGGGGAAUAUGGCACAAUGGGGGAAAGCCUGAUGCAGCGAGGCAGCGUGAGGGAUGGAGGCCUUCGGGUUGUGAACCUCUUUCGCCAGUGAAGCAGGCCUGCCUCGUUUGUGGGUGGGUUGACGGUAGCUGGAGAAGAAGCGCCGGCUAACUACGUG
rnacentral:rRNA from 1 species